CAGCCGCCACGGUAAUACGUAGGUGGCAAGCGUUGUCCGGAAUUAUUGGGCGUAAAGGGCUCGCAGGCGGUUUCUUAAGUCUGAUGUGAAAGCCCCCGGCUCAGCCAGGGAGGGUCAUUGGAAACUGGGAAACUUGAGUGCAGAAGAGGAGAGUGGAAUUCCACGUGUAGCGGUGAAGUGCGUAGAGAUGUGGAGGAACACCAGUGGCGAAGGCGACUCUCUGGUCUGUAACUGACGCUGAGGAGCGAAAGCGUGGGGAGCGAACAGGAUUAGAUACCCCAGUAGUCCCUGUCUCUUAUAC
rnacentral:rRNA from 1 species